UACAGAGGUCUCAAGCGUUGUUCGGAUUCAUUGGGCGUAAAGGGUGCGUAGGUGGCGCGCUAAGUCAGGUGUGAAAUUUCGGAGCUUAACUCCGAAACUGCAUUGAUACUGGUGUGCUUGAGGACUGGAGAGGAGACUGGAAUUCAUGGUGUAGCAGUGAAAUGCGUAGAGAUCAUGAGGAAGACCAGUGGCGAAGGCGGGUCUCUGGACAGUUCCUGACGCUGAGGCGCGAAGGCCAGGGGAGCGAAACGGG
rnacentral:rRNA from 1 species